GACGAACGCUGGCGGCGGGCUUAACACAUGCAAGUCGAACGGAAAGGCCCUGCUUUUGUGGGGUGCUCGAGGGGCGAACGGGUGAGUAACACGUGAGUAACGUGCCCUUGACUUUGGGAUAACUUCAGGAAACUGGGGCUAAUACCGGAUAGGAGCUCCUGCUGCAUGGUGGGGGGUGGAAAGUUUCGGCGGUUGGGGAUGGACUAGCGGCUUAUCAGCUUGUUGGUUGGGUAGUGGCUUACCAAGGGUUUGACGGGUAGCCGGCCUGAGAGGGUGACCGGCCACCUUGGGCCUGCGAUACGGCCCAGACUCCUACGGGAGGCAGCAGUGGCGAAUAUUGCCCAAUGGGCGGAAGCCUGAUGCAGCAACGCCGCGUGCGGGAUGACGGCCUUCGGGUUGUAAACCGCUUUCGCCUGUGACGACGCGUGAGUGACGGUAAUGGGUAAAGAAGCACCGGCUAACUACGUG
rnacentral:rRNA from 1 species